rnacentral:rRNA from 1 species
GUCGAUCCUACGGGGAGGCAGCAGUGGGGAAUAUUGCACAAUGGGGGAAACCCUGAUGCAGCCAUGCCGCGUGUGUGAAGAAGGCCUUCGGGUUGUAAAGCACUUUCAGUAGGGAGGAAGGUAGUGUAGUUAACACCUGCAUUAUUUGACGUUACCUACAGAAGAAGCACCGGCUAACUCCGUGCCAGCAGCCGCGGUAAUACGGAGGGUGCGAGCGUUAAUCGGAAUUACUGGGCGUAAAGCGCAUGCAGGCGGCCUGUUAAGUCAGAUGUGAAAGCCCGGGGCUUAACCUCGGAAUUGCAUUUGAAACUGGCAGGCUAGAGUCUUGUAGAGGGGGGGUAGGAAUUUCAGGUGUAGCGGUGAAAUGCGUAGAGAUCUGAAGGAAUACCAGUGGCGAAGGCGGCCCCCUGGACAAAGACUGACGCUCAGAUGCGAAAGCGUGGGGAGCAAACAGGAUUAGAUACCCUGGUAG